UCUCCUAUAGCUCAGUUGGUAGAGCGUGCGGCUGUUAACCUCAAAGUCGCUGGUUCAAACCCAGCUGGGAGAG
rfam:Phytophthora infestans T30-4 supercont1.4 genomic scaffold, whole genome shotgun sequence.